CCUACGGGUGGCAGCAGUGGGGAAUAUUGGACAAUGGGCGAAAGCCUGAUCCAGCCAUGCCGCGUGUGUGAAGAAGGCCUUCGGGUUGUAAAGCACUUUCAGUGGGGAAGAAAGCCUUGGGGCUAAUACCCUCGAGGAAGGACAUCACCCACAGAAGAAGCACCGGCUAACUCCGUGCCAGCAGCCGCGGUAAUACGGAGGGUGCGAGCGUUAAUCGGAAUUACUGGGCGUAAAGCGCGCGUAGGCGGUCUGAUAAGCCGGUUGUGAAAGCCCCGGGCUCAACCUGGGAACGGCAUCCGGAACUGUCAGGCUAGAGUGCAGUAGAGGAAGGUAGAAUUCCCGGUGUAGCGGUGAAAUGCGUAGAGAUCGGGAGGAAUACCAGUGGCGAAGGCGGCCUGCUGGACUGACACUGACGCUGAGGUGCGAAAGCGUGGGUAGCAAACAGGAUUAGAUACCCUAGUAGUC
rnacentral:rRNA from 1 species